rnacentral:rRNA from 1 species
GUGGGGAAUAUUGCACAAUGGGCGCAAGCCUGAUGCAGCAACGCCGCGUGAGGGAUGACGGCCUUCGGGUUGUAAACCUCUUUUAGUAGGGAAGAAGCGAAAGUGACGGUACCUGCAGAAAAAGCACCGGCUAACUACGUGCCAGCAGCCGCGGUAAUACGUAGGGUGCAAGCGUUGUCCGGAAUUAUUGGGCGGAAAGAGCUCGUAGGCGGCUUGUCGCGUCUGCUGUGAAAACCCGAGGCUCAACCUCGGGCCUGCAGUGGGUACGGGCAAGCUAGAGUGCGGUAGGGGAGAUUGGAAUUCCUGGUGUAGCGGUGGAAUGCGCAGAUAUCAGGAGGAACACCGAUGGCGAAGGCAGAUCUCUGGGCCGUAACUGACGCUGAGGAGCGAAAGCAUGGGGAGCGAACAGGAUUAGAAACCCUGGUAGUCC